rnacentral:rRNA from 1 species
UACGGGGGGGGCAAGCGUUGUUCGGAAUUACUGGGCGUAAAGGGCGCGUAGGCGGCCUGCUAAGUCGGACGUGAAAUCCCCCGGCUCAACCUGGGAACUGCGUCUGAUACUGGAUGGCUUGAAUUCGGGAGAGGGAUGCAGAAUUCCAGGUGUAGCGGUGAAAUGCGUAGAUAUCUGGAGGAAUACCGGUGGCGAAGGCGGCAUCCUGGACCGACAUUGACGCUGAUGAGCGAAAGCUAGGGGAGCAAACGGG